UGGAAAGAUGAAUCAAAGAAGGUAAUAAUCCUGUAGUCGAAAAUGUUGUCUCUCUUGAGUGGAUCCUGAGUACGACGGAGCACGUGAAAUUCCGUCGGAAUCUGGGAGGACCAUCUCCUAAGGCUAAAUACUCUCUAGUGACCGAUAGUGAACCAGUACCGUGAGGGAAAGGUGAAAAGCACCCCGGAAGGGGAGUGAAAUAGAACCUGAAACCGUGUGCUUACAAGUAGUCAGAGCCCGUUAAUGGGUGAUGGCGUGCCUUUUGUAGAAUGAACCGGCGAGUUACGAUUUGAUGCAAGGUUAAGCAGUAAAUGUGGAGCCGUAGCGAAAGCGAGUCUGAAUAGGGCGUUUAGUAUUUGGUCGUAGACCC
rnacentral:rRNA from 1 species